rnacentral:rRNA from 1 species
GUAGUUGGCGGGGUAACGGCCCACCAAGCCUACGAUCAGUAACUGGUGUGAGAGCACGACCAGUCACACGGGCACUGAGACACGGGCCCGACUCCUACGGGGGGCAGCAGUAAGGAAUAUUGGUCAAUGGACGCAAGUCUGAACCAGCCAUGCCGCGUGGAGGAUGAAGGUCCUCUGGAUUGUAAACUUCUUUUAUUUGGGAAGAAACCACCGAUUUCUAUUGGUGUUGACGGUACCAGAUGAAUAAGCACCGGCUAACUCCGUGCCAGCAGCCGCGGUAAUACGGAGGGUGCAAGCGUUAUCCGGAUUCACUGGGUUUAAAGGGUGCGUAGGCGGGUUGGUAAGUCCGUGGUGAAAUCUCCAAGCUUAACUUGGAAACUGCCGUGGAUACUAUCAAUCUUGAAUAUAGUGGAGGUGAGCGGAAUAUGUCAUGUAGCGGUGAAAUGCUUAGAUAUGACAUAGAACACCCAUUGCGAAGGCAGCUCGCUACACUAUUAUUGACGCUGAGGCACGAAAGCGUGGGGAUCAAACAGGAUUAGAUACCCUGGUAGUCCACGCCCUAAACGAUGAUUACUCGACAUCAGCGAUACACUGUUGGUGUCUGAGCGAAAGCAUUAAGUAAUCCACCUGGGAAGUACGACCGCAAGGUUGAAACUCAAAGGAAUUGACG